AAGUCGUAACAAGGUUUCCGUAGGUGAACCUGCGGAAGGAUCAUUAGCGAAGUUCGGAAUGCAUGUUCGGUGUUGAUGCUGCCCAGCAAUGGGAUGUGCUCACUCGGAUGUGUGUCCCUUCUCUAUCCACCCCACUGUGAACCAAGUGUGUGAGCCGAAGAGAAAUCGGACGCUCGCAUGCAAACCUUUAACAUACCCCAAUAAAGUAUCAGAAUGUACCUUGCGUUAACUCGCACAAAUAUAACUUUCAACAACGGAUCUCUUGGCUCUC
rnacentral:misc_RNA from 1 species